AUUUCAUUUUUUUCCUGGUAAAUUACUUCCUCUGGUAUGGUCUUGCCUUGGAUUGUUUAUGUUGAAACUAACAUUGUAAGAUCCAUCUCUAUUAAAAAAAAUAAGAAAUUAUUAGUGACUUUAAAAAAGUAAUGAAAUAUUACUUUGGGCAUAAUUAUAUUUCUGUCUUUAUAUGUUCUGUUUAUGUUUUUAGCAACACAAAAUUUGAAUGUAAGAUUCCUAUUUCUUUUUUUUUUUUUUUUUCCACAAGGUUUUGCUCUGUUGCCCAAGCUGAAGUGCACUGGUAUGAAUUAUCACUGUGGCCAUGCUGAUUGCAAAUAACUAUGCUCAUAAUGCUUCCAGGUUCAGUGCUAUCAGCAAGUCUCUCCCACCCUGGGUUCUAACCACCCCCGACCUUGGAAAGAGAGGGAGAGGGAGACGGUGGAAAGAGAGGGAGAGGGAGACCGUGGGGAGCAGUAGUAGAGUUGCUGGAUCGUAUGGUAGCUCUAUAUUCAGAAUUUUGAGGAUCUGCCAGACUGUUUUCCAAAGUACCAUUUUAGGCCGGGUGUGGUGGCUCACGCCUGUAAUCCCAACACUUUGGGAGGCCAAGGCCGGUGGAUCACUUGUGGCCAGGAGUUCAAGACCAGCCUGGCCAACAUGGUAAAACCCCAUGUCUCCUAAAAAUAUAAAAAUUAGCUGGGCGUGAUGACGCAUGCCGUGGUCCCAGCUACUCAGGAGGCUGAGGCGGGAGAAUCACUUGAACCUGGGAGGCGGAGGUCGCAGUGAGCAGAGAUUGCGCCACCUUACUCCAGCCUGGGUGACAGAGCAAGAUUCUGUCUCAAAAAAAAAACAAACAAAUAAAAAACAAAGUACCAUUAGUCCCACUAGCAAUGUAUGAGGGUUCCAGUUUCUCAACAUCCUUGACAACACUUGUUACUAGCUGUCUUUUUUAUUAUAUCUGUUCUAGUGGGUGGCAUCUCAUUGUGGUUCAAUUUGCAUGUUUUGGAUGGCUAAUGAUGUUGAGCAUCUUUUCACAUGCUUCUUGGCCAUUCGUAUAUCCUCUUUGGAAAUGUCUAUUCACAUCCUUACCCAUUUUUAAAAUUGGGUCAUGUAUCCUUUUAUCAUUGAGUUGUAAGAGUUCUUUCUAUAUUCUAGCUACAAGUCCCUUGUCAGACAAAUGAUUUGCAAAUAUUUUCUCCCAUUCUGUUAAGUUUUUUUUUUUUCUCUCUAUUGAUUGUGCACUUUAAAGCACAAAAGCCUAAUCUUGAUGAGGUCCAACUUACCUGUUUUUUCUUUUGUUGCUCAUACUUUUGGUACAAUAUCUAAGAAUCCAUUGCCAAAUCCAAAGUCACAAAGAUGUACUCCUAUCUUUUCUGCUAGGAGUUUUAUAGUUUUAACUCUUUCAUUAAGGUCUAGGGACCAUUUUAAGUUAAUUUUAUUUAUGAUAUAAGGAAGGGGUCCAACUUCAUUCUUUUACAUGUAGAUAUCCAGUUGUCUCAAAACUUUGUUGAAAAGACUAUUCUUUUCCUAUUAAUAGUCUUGUCACUCUGGUCAAAAAUCAGUUUACUGUAAAUGUAAGUGGUCAAAAAUUAAUUGACUGUAAUGUAAGGAUGUAUUUAUGGUCCAUCAAUCACAUUUCAUUGACUGUAUGUCACAUUUCAUUGACUAUAGGUCUGUGCAUAUUCCACUGUCUUGUUUACAGAAACUUUGUAGUAAGUUUUGAAAAUGCUGUGAGUACUCCAACUUUGUUCUUCCUUUACAAGAUAGUUUUGGCUAUUCAGCAUUCCUUGAAUUUUCCUAUGGGAUUUUUAGCUU
rnacentral:lncRNA from 1 species